GAAAUUUCAUAUAAAGAUAACUAAAAUUAAAACUCUCCUCAAGGAUUUGACUCCGAAACCUGAAAUUUUCAAAAACUGCCAAAAGAAUGAGAUAGAGUAUUAAUUAUUAUAGAAAAAUAUCCCAGGAAAUCAGCUCUUAUUUGCAUUACACAUAGAGAAAAUCACAGCACCCAUGUGGCUGGCCUGCUUGUUGAGACAUAGUGGAUACUAAGACGCAAGUCAGAAAUGAAGAUCAUUUACUAAUAUCUCAAUACUGUUUGGACUACAGCCCCAGUAUGGCCAUGAAAACUCCCAGUGCAGCAUCAUGGGGCUCCAGCGAGUUGUUUCUUCGAGAUAGUGGAGGACGUGAGACAUAUGCCUGUUUACCUAUGUUAUACACCAGGCAUCCCCGUUCUCCGUCACCUGUCUAAAAGAGUUACCAGAA